rnacentral:rRNA from 1 species
UGAAUGGGAUACCUAAAUUUCCCAUGGCAAACUGCUCAGUAACACAUGAUCAACUUACCCUAUAGAGAAGGAUAAUCUCGGGAAACUGAGGAUAAUACUUCAUAGUUGAAUAGGCUUGGAAAAGUUUUUCAAUAAAAGGGAUAAAAAAAAUGGUUUUUAUCUGCUAUAGGAUAGGAUCGUGGACGAUUAUGGUUGUUGGUGGGGUAAUGGCUCACCAAGCCGAUAAUCGAUAGGGGCCGUGAGAGCGGGAGCCCCGAUAUGGGUACUGAGACAACGACCCAGGCCUUACGAGGCGCAUCAGGCGCGGAACCUCCGCAAUACACGAAAGUGUGACGGGGUUACCCAAAGUGUUCAAUUCUGAACUGUGGUAGGUGAGUAAUGUCCCCUACUACAAAGGAGAGGGCAACGCUGGUGCCAGCCGCCGCGGUAAAACCACCUCUUCAAGUGGUCGGGAUAAUUAUUGGGCUUAAAGUGUCCGUAGCCGGUUUAGUAAGUUCCUGGUAAAAUCGGGUAACUUAACUAUUUGUAUGCUAGGAAUACUGCUAUACUAGAGGGCGGGAUACGUCUGACGUACUACAGGUGUAGGGGUGAAAUCUUAUAAUC